UCAUCAUUUUUAUAAAACUUACUUAAAUUUGCGCUUGCUCUGCUGGAACGCGUUUGCGCAAUGUGCAACAUAUACAUAUUUUCUGUUAUUGUUGGUGGUUCAAAAAGUAUUUUGUGUAAGUUCAUGGUGUUUGUCCUAUUGUGAAUUGUGAUUAUCGGUACUGCGAUAAAUUCAGAAUAGUGCAAUAAAUACCGUUUUGUCAAGAAAAACAGUACUAACCCUACAUAACCUCACUUCUGCAAGCAAUGCAGAAAAUGCAGUUUCUCAACACAGAUAAAAUGAUGAAUGUCCGGGCGCAACCAAAAAAAAGAAGAAAUCCAGUUAGAAAUUGCGGGAGAUACGCAGAAAUUGAAUGAAUUGUUAGUUUCAGACUGAUAAUAAUGUUUAUUUGCCAGGAAGAGAAGAUGUAAAAAACAUGUACCUAUGCAAUUUUGAAGAAAUUAUUAAUAAUGAACCAAAUUGCUUUCAAGUUUUCAGGGCAAGGAAAAAAUAAGCUCUCUUUUAGUGAACUCACAAUUAACAAGGCUACAAUAUGUAAAGUUAUGUGAUUUCUUAAAAAUUACGAAAUUUGUAAGUUAAUUUAAUUGUAGGUACCACACGGAAACGUGACAAAAACGCCACAACUGCUGAAAUUUAAAAAAUGGUAGGACCUCAUUAAGCGCAGACAAAAGCAAGAAUGAAUUCUCAUCGAAAAAAACAUGAGGUAUGAUUUUUUUUAUUUUAAUUAAUUAUAUCGCUUUUCAAUGAAUUGGUUAUAGAGCAAAUAAUUAUUAAAUAAAUAUUUCUGUAUAACGAUUGAAAUGUAGCAGAACAUUGUUAUUUCCAUUGACAGUGUAUUUUUAUUUCAUUGUAAGUUGGCAGUGUAUUUUUAUGUUUAAAAAAUUUAUAUUGUGUUUCACAUCAGGUGAUUUUUUAAAUUUAUGCUCUGGUUGCCCAUGAAGCUUAUGCCAGCAGUUUCAGUUUCACUGCUGACAUAAGUGUCAUGGGUAACUACAGCAAAAAUUAAAAAACAAUCACCCGGUACAAAUUUUCAACGAAUUGGUUCUAGGACAAAUAAUUUUUAAAUGUAUAAAUAUUGCCGCAACGUUUCAAAUACACUGUUAUUUCCAGUGACAAUAUAUUUUUGUGUUUAAUAAAUUUUAUAUUGUAUUCCAUACAAGUUUUUUUUAUAUCCAUACCCCCUUUCAU